rnacentral:rRNA from 2 species
AACGCUAGCUACAGGCUUAACACAUGCAAGUCGAGGGGCAGCGGGAUUGAAGCUUGCUUCAAUUGCCGGCGACCGGCGCACGGGUGAGUAACGCGUAUCCAACCUUCCGCUUACUCGGGGAUAGCCUUUCGAAAGAAAGAUUAAUACCCGAUGGUAUCUUAAGCACGCAUGAGAUUAAGAUUAAAGAUUUAUCGGUAAGCGAUGGGGAUGCGUUCCAUUAGGCAGUUGGCGGGGUAACGGCCCACCAAACCUACGAUGGAUAGGGGUUCUGAGAGGAAGGUCCCCCACAUUGGAACUGAGACACGGUCCAAACUCCUACGGGAGGCAGCAGUGAGGAAUAUUGGUCAAUGGGCGAGAGCCUGAACCAGCCAAGUAGCGUGAAGGAUGACGGCCCUACGGGUUGUAAACUUCUUUUGUGCGGGAAUAAAGGAACCUACGUGUAGGUUUUUGCAUGUACCGUAACGAAUAAGCAUCGGCUAACUCCGUGCCAGCAGCCGCGGUAAUACGGAGGAUGCGAGCGUUAUCCGGAUUUAUUGGGUUUAAAGGGAGCGUAGACGGGUUUUUAAGUCAGCUGUGAAAGUUUGGGGCUCAACCUUAAAAUUGCAGUUGAAACUGGAGACCUUGAGUACGGUUGAGGCAGGCGGAAUUCGUGGUGUAGCGGUGAAAUGCUUAGAUAUCACGAAGAACUCCGAUUG